UACGAGUGCCCCGAGCGUUAUCCGGAAUCAUUGGGCGUAAAGGGCGCGUAGGUGGUUCUGUAUGUCUACCGUGAAAGCGUACGGCUCAACCGUAUUUUGUCGGUAGAAACUGCAGGACUUGAGGCUGGGAGGGGCUGGUGGAAUUCCCUGUGUAGCGGUGAAAUGCGUAGAGAUGGGGGAGAACACUCGUGGCGAAGGCGGCCAGCUAGACCAGUUCUGACACUGAGGCACGAAAGCGUGGGGAUCAAACAGG
rnacentral:rRNA from 1 species